AGCCUGUUCCUGAUUACAUGGAAUUGGCUACACAGAUCUUGUUUUUGGCAAUCAACUCUAUUUGGGGCCAUUUUUGUGGUCAUGCCCAACCCUUCAUAUAUUUCCUGACCACUUCUUCCCAAGUUAUUUUUUGUCUACCACUUGGUCUUUUAACUCCUCUUAUUUGAAUCAUAUAGCUCCUUCUUACUGGUGCACUCAAAGGCCUCUAUUGCAAAUGACCGUACCACAUGAAACAUCUUUCCUUCAACUUACCUUCUAACAGAGCUACCCCUGUGUCACCUUGAAUUUCUCAUUUUUUAUUUGGCCUUUUCUAGCUUUUCCUCUCGUACAUCUCAACAUCCUCAUGUGCUUUCAGGAUCUGAGGUAUUUUGUAUUUUCAUGACUUCACCUCAGUAAUUUUGAUGGUUGGUUCUCAAUUGGCUCAAGUUGCCUCCCUCCACCUCUAUUGUACAAUGGAAGAAUUAUUUGCACAAGUUGCAUUAUUAA